UGCAGUGUGGCAUAGUGGCAAGGUGCUGGACUUGUAAACAAAAGGUUGCUGGUUCAACUCCCUGCUGGUGCAC